rnacentral:rRNA from 1 species
GAUCGUAAGAUCUGUCAGUCAGGAGAACGAUGGAUGAGAUGAACUCUCAUCCAUUGACGUAUCUGACCGAGAAGCACGCUACUACGUGCCAGCAGCGCGUAUACGUAGGUGCCAGCGUGAUCGAUUUACUGGCGUAAGCGCGCGCAGGCGGUCUGUCAAGUCUGAUGUGAAUCCCCGGGCUCAACCGGGAGGUCAUCGAAACUGGCAGACUGGAGUGCAGUAGAGGAGAGUAGAAUUCCAGGUGUAGCGGUGAAAUGCGUAGAUAUAUGGAGGAACACCAGUGGCGAAGGCGGCUCUCUGGUCAGUGACUGACGCUCAGGCUCGAAAGCGUGGGGAGCAAACAGGAUUAGAUACCCUGGUAGUCCACGCCGUAAACGAUGAGUACUAAGAGUUGGAGGCUUUGAGGCGUUCAUUCCGGCAGUUAAGGCAUUAAUCACUCGCCUGGGGAAGUCGGCCGCCAAGUUAAAAAUUCAAAGAAAUGGCGGGGGGCCGGCCCAACCGUUGAACCAUGUGUUUAAUUUGGAAGCAACGGGAGGACCUUUCCCAGUUCUGACCAUCACAGAACCUUUCAAAGAAUAGAGGUUGCCUUUGGGAGGCAAAGACCAGUGUGGGCCAUGGUGUUGUUCAGUUGUGGUGUGAAGAUGUGGGGUAAGUUCCGGCACGAAGCGCACCCUUAUCCUUUAGUUGCCAUCGUUUAGCCGGGCACUCAAACAAGACUGCCAGUGACAAACCGGAGGAAGGUGGGGAUGACGUCAAGUCAUCAUGCCCCUUAUGACCAGGGCUACACACGUGCUACAAUGGGACAUACAAAGAGUAGCAACGUCGCGAGAGCAAGCUGACCUCAUAAAGCUUCUCUCAGUCCGGAUUGGAGUCUGCAACUCGCCUCCAUGAAGUCGGAAUCGCUAGUAAUCGCUAGAUCAGCAAUGCCGCGGUGAAUACGUUCCCGGGCCUUGUACACACCGCCCGUCACACCCAUGAGAGUGUGUAACACACAAGAAGUAGGUAAGGUAACCUUUGGGAGCGCCGCCGCCU